GUACAUUUAUUCGUAUAAAAUUAAAUACUAUAUAAACAACGUAGCCAAGUAAUGGAUUGCAUCGUAACCUGUAACUAGUGCAAUAAAUAUUUGCAAUCAAUUAUAUAUUGAUAUUAAAUCUUAAAAUAAUAUCACGUUUAUCACAUAUAAAGGAUUAGUGGAUAUUUUUUACGUAAAUAAAGUACGUAAAGUUUUACGUAAAAUUAUUACAAAAAUGAAUAUUCAUCUAUUAAUGUGUUUUACUGGUAUUGCUGCUAUUCAUAUUGGUUGGAAUAUGGUACAGAAAUAUAGACCA